rnacentral:sRNA from 1 species
GUUAGGCUUAGGCUUAGGCUUAGGUUUAGGCUUAGGCUUAGGUUUAGGCCUAGG